AUGGUGUUGGCACCAGUGUCCAGCACCCAAUUUGGUUAUGAAAAAGAAGAAGCAAAGCUAGAUUGAGCAAUAAGAGCAACAUGAGUAGCAAUUUGGUGCAGUGUGACCACGCUUAUUGCAUAUCUGACAUUCAAGAAUUAAUGUAUUUUGGAACCAUUGUUGCCAUUCCAGUUCUGCCAAGUAGAACUUCCCUUUGAGCCAGAAUUAGAACCUCCAUGAUUGCUUGAAUUUCCAGAGAAAAAGUUUGAACUCCCAGUAAACCUCCCAGAAUUGCCACCAUUAUACCUUGGCCUGUUAUUAAACCUUCCAUUAUUCCCACCAUAAUUUUGAUAGCUUCUCUAACUUGGAAAAUUGCCAUUGCCUUGUUGAUGAAAUUGAGGCAAGUCAGCUUGAGAGACAUUCCCACCAGUUGAUCUGGAGACACAAUUCUGAGACGCAUUAUUAGAUUCAUUAACAAAUCCAUAUCCACUAUUGAAAUAUUGAGAAGACCCCUGAGAAUUAGAAGCAACAUUAGAUGAUUCACCCUGACAGUACAUAGCUGACAUGGGAAAAGUCAAUGUGGAUUGUGAUUCCUCAGCUGUUCUUUCAGCAGACAAUAAUUGUGCUCUAAAUUCUUUUAAAGAAAUUGGAGUCUCUCGAGCAACAAUGACAGUACGAAUGACGUUGAAUUCUGCAGGCAAACCAGCUAAAGCAGCUACAAUGAGAUCAUUGUCUGAUACUACUUCCCCAGUUGCAGUGAGUUGAUCUUUAAGAGCUUUGAGUCUGAGCAUAUACUUCUCCACAAUAUCAGCACCUUUCUUGAUAGUGUGCAAUUCUGUUUUUAAAUGAUUGAUCCGAGCCCUAGAAACUGUAGCAUACCGAUCUUAAAGAUUUGUCCAGACCUCAUGAGUAGUCUUACAUCCUACGAC
rnacentral:sRNA from 1 species